UACGAAAGGGGCUAGAGUUGGUCGGAAUUACUGGGCGAAAAGCGCACGUAGGCGGCCUUGUAAGUUGGGGGUGAAAUCCCGGGGCUCAACUCCGGAACUGCCUUCAAGACUGCAAAGCUAGAGGACGCGAGAGGUUAGCGGAAUUCCGAGUGUAGAGGUGAAAUUCGUAGAUAUUCGGAAGAACACCAGUGGCGAAGGCGGCUAACUGGCGCGUUUCUGACGCUGAGGUGCGAAAGCGUGGGGAGCAAACAGG
rnacentral:rRNA from 1 species